UACGUAGGGUGCGAGCGUUGUCCGGAAUUAUUGGGCGUAAAGAGCUUGUAGGUGGCUCGUUGCGUCGGGAGUGAAAACCUGCGGCUUAACCGCAGGCCUGCUUCCGAUACGGGCGAGCUAGAGUUCGGCAGGGGAGACUGGAAUUCCUGGUGUAGCGGUGGAAUGCGCAGAUAUCAGGAGGAACACCGGUGGCGAAGGCGGCUCUCUGGGACGGUACUGACGCUGAGACGCGAAAGCGUGGGGAGCGAACAGG
rnacentral:rRNA from 1 species